rnacentral:rRNA from 1 species
AUUGAACGCUGGCGGAAUGCUUUACACAUGCAAGUCGAACGGCAGCACGGACUUCGGUCUGGUGGCGAGUGGCGAACGGGUGAGUAAUGUAUCGGAACGUGCCCAGUCGUGGGGGAUAACGUAGUGAAAAUUACGCUAAUACCGCAUACGAUCUAUGGAUGAAAGCGGGGGAUCGCAAGACCUAGCGCGAUUGGAGCGGCCGAUAUCAGAUUAGGUAGUUGGUGGGGUAAAGGCCCACCAAGCCAACGAUCUGUAGCUGGUCUGAGAGGACGGCCAGCCACACUGGAACUGAGACACGGUCCAGACUCCUGCGGGAGGCAGCAGUGGGGAAUUUUGGACAAUGGGCGAAAGCCUGAUCCAGACAUUCCGCGUGCAGGAUGAAGGCCCUCGGGUUGUAAACUGCUUUUGUACAGAACGAAAAGGUUUCUACUAAUACUAGGAGCUCAUGACGGUACUGUAAGAAUAAGCACCGGCUAACUACGUGCCAGCCGCCGCCGUAA